GUGCUCAUCAAAUUUAUCAGCUUUGUCUACUUAAUUUUUAACAAAAACUCGUCAUUUUUCGUAAUUUUUCAUCAAAAUUCUUUUUAAAAAAGCAAAAAUCCAGAAAAAAAUAAAAUUUUAAGGAAUUUUCAGCCAAAAAAGCGAAUUUUCAUCAAAAAUUCAAGGAAAAACAUCAAAAAGUUCAAUUUUUCAUCAGAAAUUCAACAAAAAAGAAAAAUCCAGAAUGAAAUCCAUCCUCGCCAUCCUCUUGAUCGCUUCCCUUGCCUCAUCGCAAGUCUAUGCCGGACCAUUAGCUGCGGGAAUUUGUUAUGCCGGUUGCGCAGGUGUCGUCGUCGCUUGCUUUGCAGCAGCAGGUGCUACUUUCGGGACAGUUCCUGCAUCGAUAAUUGCCGCAAGUCCCGCACUGGCAGCUUGUAACGCGGCAUUCGCUUCGUGCGAAGCAGCUUGCAUGCUCGCAUUAGCAACUCCAACACCUUGAAAUGGAUCAAAAUUGAGUCACCUGCAGAAAAUAAUGUGAUCAAAACCCGUUUUUUGUGUAAUUCUUUGUUUGUUUUAAGAAAGU